GAUGAACGCUGGCGGCGUGCUUAACACAUGCAAGUCGAACGGAAAGGCUCCUGCUUGCAGGGGUACUCGAGUGGCGAACGGGUGAGUAACACGUGGGUGAUCUGCCCUGCACUUCGGGGUAAGCCUGGGAAACUGGGUCUAAUACCGGAUAGGACGAUGGUUUGGAUGCCAUUGUGGAAAGUUUUUCGGUGUGGGAUGAGCUCGCGGCCUAUCAGCUUGUUGGUGGGGUAAUGGCCUACCAAGGCGUCGACGGGUAGCCGGCCUGAGAGGGUGUACGGCCACAUUGGGACUGAGAUACGGCCCAGACUCCUACGGGAGGCAGCAGUGGGGAAUAUUGCACAAUGGGCGCAAGCCUGAUGCAGCGACGCCGCGUGGGGGAUGACGGCCUUCGGGUUGUAAACUCCUUUCGCUAGGGACGAAGCGCAAGUGACGGUACCUGGAGAAGAAGCACCGGCUAACUACGUG
rnacentral:rRNA from 1 species